AUUGAACGCUGGCGGCAUGCUUUACACAUGCAAGUCGAACGGCAGCGGGGUAGUGCUUGCACUACUGCCGGCGAGUGGCGAACGGGUGAGUAAUAUAUCGGAACGUACCGAGUAAUGGGGGAUAACCAAUCGAAAGAUUGGCUAAUACCGCAUACGUCCUGAGGGAGAAAGCGGGGGAUCGCAAGACCUCGCGUUAUUCGAGCGGCCGAUGACUGAUUAGCUAGUUGGUGGGGUAAAGGCCUACCAAGGCGACGAUCAGUAGCGGGUCUGAGAGGACGAUCCGCCACACUGGGACUGAGACACGGCCCAGACUCCUACGGGAGGCAGCAGUGGGGAAUUUUGGACAAUGGGGGCAACCCUGAUCCAGCCAUGCCGCGUGUAUGAAGAAGGCCUUCGGGUUGUAAAGUACUUUUGUUAGGGAAGAAAAGGGAAGUGCUAAUACCACUUUUUGCUGACGGUACCUAAAGAAUAAGCACCGGCUAACUACGUG
rnacentral:rRNA from 1 species